CCUACGGGUGGCAGCAGUGAGGAAUAUUGGUCAAUGGACGGAAGUCUGAACCAGCCAUGCCGCGUGCAGGAAGACGGCUCUAUGAGUUGUAAACUGCUUUUGUACAAGGGUAAACCUGAAUACGUGUAUUCAGCUGAAAGUACUGUACGAAUAAGGAUCGGCUAACUCCGUGCCAGCAGCCGCGGUAAUACGGAGGAUCCAAGCGUUAUCCGGAUUUAUUGGGUUUAAAGGGUGCGUAGGCGGAUUGAUAAGUUAGAGGUGAAAUGUUCGAGCUUAACUCGGGAACUGCCUCUAAUACUGUUGGUCUAGAGAGUAGUUGCGGUAGGCGGAAUGUAUGGUGUAGCGGUGAAAUGCUUAGAGAUCAUACAGAACACCGAUUGCGAAGGCAGCUUACCAAUCUAUAUCUGACGUUGAGGCACGAAAGCGUGGGGAGCAAACAGGAUUAGAUACCCGGGUAGUC
rnacentral:rRNA from 1 species